UACGUAGGCAGCGAGCGUUGUUCGGAUUUACUGGGCGUAAAGGGCGCGUAGGCGGCAUGACAAGUCACUUGUGAAAUCUCCGGGCUUAACUCGGAACGGUCAAGUGAUACUGUCGCGCUAGAGUGCGGAAGGGGCAAUCAGAAUUCUUGGUGUAGCGGUGAAAUGCGUAGAUAUCAAGAGGAAUACCUGAGGUGAAGACGGGUUGCUAGGCCGACACUGACGCUGAAGCGCGAAAGCCAGGGGAGCAAACGGG
rnacentral:rRNA from 1 species